CUAAUCCCAAUAUUCUCAAAUGCAGAGGCUCAGACAUAGUCAUUUGGUUUCCCUUUCCUCCUGACUUGCUCUCACCAUCCCAGUUCACACUGCGAUCUCUCCUCCUGACUUGCUCUCACCAUCCCAGUUCCGUUCGCCGCCAUGAUCAUCAGACCUCAAUCCAAGAUGGGAAAUGCAAUCAUGGUCGAUGAUCUGGUGCUCCUUGAUUUCUAAUGUAACCCUAAACCUCUGCUCUGUGUCUCUUCCUCUCACUCACUCUUUCGAAAUCAGUCCCUCUGUCGAACUCGAAGGGACGAACGACAAAGUCGAAGAACUAAUCAUCCAUCAUCUCCGUCUAACUCAGAUUCAUAGUUUUUUAAGGUGGAUGGGGUCGAAAUUAGGAUUAAGCAACGGCAGGAGCUCUCCCACCUUGCAAGUUUCCUUCAUGGCCCGUUCCCUUCACAGACCACGAAAUACAAAGCUUGGCGGGAAGAUCAAGCACCACAAUAUGAACAUCAACCUGGGCACUACCAUCAAGCUUCACAAACUCAUCCCUUUGUUCUUGCUAUACAAUGCGCUUUCGUUUCGGCUUUACCAUUUUUUAUAGUAUCCUACAAAAAUAUAACAGUAUAAACAAACCCAAAUGAACAGAAAUGAGAAGUGUCAUACUAAGUACUAAGAUAUACCUACAAACGUGUACCAAGGGGAGAGUGGAGGAGGAGCGCAUGACAUGUUUGCAAAAGGUGGACUUGCCGGUUCUAGGUGCACCCACCAAUAUUACUACGACAGGCUUUCCUUUCUUUUCUUCCCCUGUCAAAAGCGCAUACCGAUUUUGUAAUCACCGAAGGUGACGACGACCCAAAAUGAUAUCCAUGUCCAUGUUUUGGAAGACUCUGUGUGGCACGUUUGAAUUAACAGUGUUGUAAGUUUCAUAAACAGUGUCGUAAAUUUUCAUAUACAGCGCAGUAAGUUUCAUAAACAGUGUAGAAGUUUUAUAAACAAUAUGAGGAUGCAUGGGUCAGCGCGUCAGAUUUUUGUUUUACUAUUAAAAUUUUGCCUUAUUCAUUAAAAUUUAAUUUCUUUUGUCCUUUUUAUUAAAAUUUAAGGGGUUUUCAUUAAAAUUUAAGUUUUUUUCAUUAAAUAAAGUUAUAACAUGAUUUUUUUAUUAAAAUAAACUUGAUUCAAGCCCUUUUCAUAAAAGUUCCCUAAAAAAAAUGCAAGAUGCAUGUACUAAUUAUCUGUAAGUUAAACAUCAUAUUAUAUUUAAAUUUAAGACAUCUGAUAUUACAAACGAUGUUUUAUAUAAACCAACAUACUGAUUAAAAUAAUGAUAACGUGACAUAUAAAUGAAAAAGAAAAUGAACAGUCUGUCUAAUUUGUGUCCUAGUAAGGUGUAUCUUUUAAUUUGGUUUCCCUGUAUAUGCAUGGUAUUCGGGGGAUGACAACUUAACUUGCAGUUGCAGGAAAAUCGGGUGGCAUAUGGGAGUUGCAGUCGCAAGAAGAUGAACUAAUAUUGGUCAUGGUUGUUACAAACUUGGAUGCACUUGCCUUAAAAUAAAGUAGCAUAUGUGGACGAGGCUUACACAUAUCUAUACAUAAGUAUAUUUGUCCAAUCAGUGCCGACCUACUGAAUAUUAGUCAGUGGCAAAGAUGGAUGCCCUCACUUAAAUUGAUUCUUAUUUCGUUGAAGUUAUUGGUUCCUAUUUUCAUUUUACAAAAAAGAAAGAAGCAAAGUUUUUUUCAUGUGUUUUUCUUUUACUAAGAGCCACUGUUAGUGUGAAA